UCCACCCUCAAUUCCUGACUUUUACCUCACUAUGUAGAUUUUUUAUUUUUCACUUAUUCAUUUUGUAUUUCUUGAAACUUAUUUGUGCUAAUUUUUUCUUCAGGUGGCAUUGAUGCUUCUUAUCUUACAAAUCAAUAUUUGGCGUAAGUUUCUUCGUAUGGCUUUUUUAUCAUUUUGGUUAAUUUGUAUUAUCUUUUUCUUUUUGAGUUGUUCUCUAUGGGCACUGCUUAUUAUUGGUUAAAAAUCCUUUUUGAGAUUCCUUUCUGUGCUUUUCCUUAUCAUGAAUGGUCUGCCUAAUUUAGAUGAGACACGGACUCAAUUUGAGCACAUUGUAGCCAUGAAUCAAAAAAAUCCUACAUAUAGGUUUUUAUAUGUUAAUAGGUACUUGUCAACAUCGAAUGGGAUUGAAAGUAAUGCUGUACAUGACUUAAGGUUGGGAGGAUUUUCUAGACUGCAAAUUGCAUUAUAUUGAGGAUCUGUUUUAGAAGCUCUGGUUUUAAUAAGAGUGGAGGGGGCAAGACUAAUUUAGAUGGGGGAUAGGAAACAUGUCUUAACUGUGGGCUGCUUGUUACUGCUUCGUGUGAUGGGUGGAAAUAAUUUUGUACUAUAUUUUGAAGUUUUUAGAUGUAAGAAUGGAUUCUUAGACUUUUUGUGGGAGCAUAUAAGCUAUUGUUUACUUGGUCAUUCCUCCAAUACCAUAGGCGAGUCUUUGAAAAACAAGAGAAUCACGUCAAGACUUAUCUAAAAUGUUUUCAUCUCAGGGCCCUAUUGCAUAAGAAAAACAAAAGAAUCACAUUUGAUAAGAAAUAAUUAAUGUUUUAUUAAUUUCCAUGCUCAUCUAUGAAAUAAUGAGGGCUUAUUCAAAAUUUACUACAACGUCUUCUUAUCUUUCUUUAUCCAAAUUUAUUGAAAAAUCUUCUUAUUUAUUAUUCUUCCCUCUGUCAAUUUUCGUAACAUGAUAUUGAAACAAUAUAUUUUUUGGGCUCAUGCAAUCUCUGGUACUUUGCUAACAAAAUAUGAUUCAAAAAUUGAGUACAUGCAUUUUAUGAAUGAAGCUGUCAUCAUUCCCUCAUUUCAGCUUUUAUCCUCUUUGUGCCUCAGGCUCAGUACUACAAUAAAAAUAGACUAGCAAAACAACGAUCACAUGUUACAGACCAGAAAUGUAGUUGCUGAUUUUGACACAAUCGUUUACAUUCUAGAAAUGAACCUAGAAAUGCAGUGGCAAGUAGUUGUUGAAUAGUAAAUUUUUCAACAACAAUUUAUUUGUUUGACACGAGUGCAUGAUUGGUACAAUGUGCUAAAAACUAAUUUUAUGCGUAUUGAAUUUUAUUUAUUUUUACUGUCAACAACAUAGGUUAUUCCAAUGCCAUCAAAGCUGAAGCCACCACCCCCAAGACCUUUGAAUGGUUCUAUCACGCAGGCGAUCACUCAACCUAGCACGUAGCCUUCACCUACCAUGCAGUCUGCACUAGCCACUUUGCCAACAGAAACAAGUAGUUCUAUAAUUGUUAUUUAACUCUUACUUCAACUUUUUUUCUUAUUGACAUUUAUUGCUUUAACACUUGCAGCAUUCCCAAUCGAGUGUAAGCGAUGUGGUCGUACUUGUGGCUUAGACACAUCCCAGAUAGUCAAGGCCACUCAUAGGAAGCUGGAAAUCAUGUAUGAAGAUAGCAAUGGAAGACCAUCUAGUCCUAAUGCUAGUCUAUUUGUAUCUGAAAUAGGAUCUGGUGUGAGAAUAUUUGCACCUCUCCAAAAGAUCUUUUAAAAAGAUGUGUCUGAAUUUGAAAAAUUCCCUAUUUAUGACAAAGUGGAGGUAACAUUAUUGUUUUAACUUGUUUUGUUUCUUGUCCUAGUACAACUUGUACGCAUCUUUUUCUUUCUUUAAACAUUUCAUUGCUGAAGAAAGGAAUAAAGUUAAUAACAAGUUAGUAUACCAGGUAUCAAAUUGACAGGUUCUCUAAAUGAUUAGAAGUCAAUAUCUUAAUUAAAAAUAUUGGAUGUUUGCAUAUGUUCAUUGACAUGUAUGCAUAUCUUGAAUGAUCUGAAUUGCUGGCACUUUGAUUUUGGUUGCUUGGAGUAGCAACUUCAUCCAAUAUAUUUGUGUGAAUUUUGUGCUCGUCAUUGUGUUUUCACUCAUGGUAUGUUGCUAUAUAUAGGCUAUUUUUGAUGUACAAUAUGAUAAAUAUGCAACUCUCAAAGAGAUCAUGGAGAAAUCAAUGGCCACUUCCUCUAAGGAGUUUUGAUAUGAGCUGCACACACAUCACAAGAAGUUUCUGGACCAACCAAUGGCUCAUAGGAAAGCUAAUAAGCCUAAAGAAAUCUGACAUGAGGUUGAUUGGGAUUAUUUGAGUAACUAUUAGGAAAGUGCGAUUUUAGGUGCAUUUAUAUAUAGUAUGACUUCCAUUUAUGUUCAAUGGUUAACUUAUUUAGUUCAUUGACUUUCUUUGUUCUGUUAAUUGGACAUUACAAAAAAAGACCAAGGUAGCAAUUGACAAUAGAUCCCGACAAGAAUUUACCCAUUUUUCUUGUUCUAGAUCAUGUAUUCAAUGUCAGGCUAUGUGGGUAAGUAAGAAGGAAUAUAUUCAUCUCUAUUAGGAAACAAUUUCAAUUCAAUUCAAUUUUAUUCUUAUUUCUUCUAAUAGGAUAAUGAAACUGGACGACCAGACAAAAUUCAACUACGGAAGAACACACAUUACAAGGAUACAAAAGGCUAGAUCCAUCCUGUGGUUGAGGAGAAACAUGUAAUAAACAAAUAAUAUAAGUCUUUAAGUUUAUUAUUACUUAAUGGACUAAAUAUUUUUCUACCUUAUUUGUGUUAAUACUUUCCUAUUGUCAUGUAGAAAGAGAUGGUAGACAUACAAAAAACACAACAAGCACAUGUUGUGGGAGAGAAGAGUGAGAUCCAAGGAGUAUAGCUCACUGCUAAUGACAUUUUGACUCAGGUCCUUAGAGCUACUUCUUACUACUAUACGGGUUUGGGCAGGGGUCCAAAGAUUCAACGUGCUACAUCUUGUGUAGACACAACUCAAUGAGAGAAUGCCAAGGUUCGCCAAGUCAUGCAUAAUUUGCAGAGCCAAAAUGAGUGUACUCUCGCUUUGUUAAAAGAGAUUAUGCCAGUUGCCAUCGCUAGAAUAGGUAGCCCUAGAGUUCCUACUAAUCCUCAUUCGUCUUCGUCACCAUCAUAACCUGAUCACGAGUCACAUGAUGAUCAUUAGUUUAAAGCUCUUCUAUUCCAUUUACAUGGUUUUAUAUUUUAAUGGUUAAUACUCCAUUAUAACAUAUGCUAUUAUUUUUGGAUUAAGCUAGCUUUCUCUUAUAUAUGAAUUUGACUAGGCUCUUUAUUUUGAAAUCCAUUAUAGUUUGGGCAUGUAACGUAGUUACUUAUUCUGAAAUUGGAAUUGACUGGUAAAGAUAUGAUAUAGUAUUUUGCCUUGCAAUUGUUUUGCUACAGGCUUUUUAUUGUGAUUAUUAUUUUGUGAUUUCUGAUAUUUCUUGAAUUUGAACUUUUAUUGGUACAUUAUUUUCGAGUUGGCCAUUCUACCUUUCUUAUAACUUUGAUUCUCGGCCAAGGUUGUAAAAAAUAAAAUAAAUCACAAUUAUUGAGGGAAACCAUAAUCAGAAAAAGCAGUUCCUGACCAAUUUCACUUGAUCUCUCCCUCGGUAAAUGUCACUUGACUUUUUUGGUCGGCAAAUGU
rnacentral:lncRNA from 1 species